rnacentral:rRNA from 1 species
UACAGAGGUCUCAAGCGUUGUUCGGAUUCAUUGGGCGUAAAGGGUGCGUAGGCGGCGCGGUAAGUCGGGUGUGAAAUCUCGGAGCUUAACUCCGAAACUGCAUUCGAUACUGCCGUGCUUGAGGACUGGAGAGGAGACUGGAAUUUACGGUGUAGCGGUGAAAUGCGUAGAUAUCGUAAGGAAGACCAGUGGCGAAGGCGGGUCUCUGGGCCACUACUAACGCUGAGGAGCGAAAGCGUGGGGAGCAAACAGG